UACGUAGGUGGCAAGCGUUGUCCGGAAUUACUGGGUGUAAAGCGCGUGUAGGCGGCAGACCAAGUCGGCGGUGAAAGCGCUCGGCUCAACUGGGCGAGGUCCGUGGAAACUGGUCAGCUGGAGGACGGUAGAGGCGAGUGGAAUUCCCGGUGUAGUGGUGAAAUGCGUAGAGAUCGGGAGGAACACCUGUGGCGAAGGCGGCUCGCUGGGCCGGUCCUGACGCUGAGACGCGAAGGCGUGGGGAGCGAACGGG
rnacentral:rRNA from 1 species